rnacentral:rRNA from 1 species
CUAAGGAGACUGCCGGUGACAAACCGGAGGAAGGUGGGGAUGACGUCAAGUCAUCAUGGCCCUUACGGCCUGGGCUACACACGUGCUACAAUGGUCGGUACAAAGGGUUGCCAAGCCGCGAGGUGGAGCUAAUCCCAUAAAACCGAUCGUAGUCCGGAUCGCAGUCUGCAACUCGACUGCGUGAAGUCGGAAUCGCUAGUAAUCGUGAAUCAGAAUGUCCACGGUGAAUACGUUCCCGGGCCUU